CAUCAUUUUAAAAAGAAGAGAAGAUAGGGUAUGCACAUAUCUGAUUCCAAAGAAAAAAUAAGGUGGCAUGAGAAGAGACUUCUGCGUGAGAAAAGAAAAGAAAAGAAAAGAAGAGAAAAGAAAAGAGAGAGUGGGCGCAAGUUUCUUCUAUGAGUAUCCUAGGGUUUCUACUUAGGGUUCGGGAAGUGAGAAGGUGAGCUACGAGUGUCAUGAGCCCACCAA
rnacentral:lncRNA from 1 species